CCAGGCUCCAGGAGGGUGACACUGAGGAUUCUCCAGGAUGGUCUCCAGGGUCAAAGAAAACAAGACAAGGGCCAGAGAACUAAGGCUGGAGUGUUUGGGAUCCAUCCCAGGUACACAGCUGCCCUGUCACAGCACAGAACCUACCAUGUGCCACGUCAGCAGUCAGCACUUGAGCGCAACCUUCUGAAGACGGCGCACAGCCAACAGAGUUUCCUCAAGGAACACCGGAGACCAACCACAGGCUGGCUUUCAAGCUGCUUUCAUCUCUGGCUUAUCUGUGUGCUGACCUGCUUCCCAAGGCUCCCUCCACUGGGUCCCAGCUAUUGGCAGCACUUGGCCCAGAGUUAUAGGAGGGAACAAAGCCAGCCAAAGCGCUGCCCUGGGAAGUGUACAACACAACAAGAAA
rnacentral:lncRNA from 1 species